rnacentral:rRNA from 1 species
UAGGGAAUCUUGCGCAAUGGGCGAAAGCCUGACGCAGCCAUGCCGCGUGAAUGAUGAAGGUCUUAGGAUUGUAAAAUUCUUUCACCGGGGAAGAUAAUGACGGUACCCGGAGAAGAAGCCCCGGCUAACUUCGUGCCAGCAGCCGCGGUAAUACGAAGGGGGCUAGCGUUGCUCGGAAUUACUGGGCGUAAAGGGCGCGUAGGCGGACAGUUUAGUCAGAGGUGAAAGCCCAGGGCUCAACCUUGGAAUUGCCUUUGAUACUGGCUGUCUUGAGUUCGGGAGAGGUGAGUGGAAUGCCGAGUGUAGAGGUGAAAUUCGUAGAUAUUCGGCGGAACACCAGUGGCGAAGGCGACUCACUGGCCCGAUACUGACGCUGAGGCGCGAAAGCGUGGGGAGCAAACAGGAUUAGAUACCCUGGUAGUCCACGCCGUAAACGAUGAGUGCUAGUUGUCGGCAUGCAUGCAUGUCGGUGACGCAGCUAACGCAUUAAGCACUCCGCCUGGGGAGUACGGUCGCAAGAUUAAAACUCAAAUGAAUUGAC